CGACACAGGUAGGUAGGUAGAGAAUACCUAGGGGCACGCGACAACUCUCUCUAAGGAACUCGAAAAAAUAGCCCCGUAACUUCAGGAGAAGGGGUGCCUCCUCAGGAGGUCGCAGUGACCAGGCUCGGGCAACUAUUUACCAAAAACAUGGGUCUCCGCAAAGUCGUAAGACCAUGUAUGGGGGCUGAUGCCUGCCUAGUGCUGGAAGGUUAAGGAAGUUGGUGACCUGAUGAUGGGGAAGCCAGCGACCGAAGCCCCGGUGAACGACGACCGUAACUAUAACGGUCCUAAGGUAGCGAAAUUCCUUGUUGGGUAAGUUCCAACCCGCACAAAAGGCGUAACGAUCUAGGCACUGUCUCGGAGAGAGACUCAGUGAAAUAGACAUGUCUUUGAAGAUGCGGACUACCUGCACCUGGACAGAAAGACCCUAUGAAGCUUUAUUGUUCCCUGGGAUUGUCUUUGGGUUCUUCUUUCAUAGCUUAGGUGGAAGGCGAAGAAGGCUCCCUCUUGGGGGGCCUGAGCCACCAGUGAGAUACCACUCUGGAAGAGAUAGAAUUCUAACCUUGUGUCAGGACCUACGGGCCAAGGGACAGUCUCAGGUAGAUAGUUUCUAUGGG
rnacentral:ncRNA from 1 species